GGGGGGAACGGGAAGACCCUUCCCCACCUUUGACAUGUACGGAACCCUUUAGAGAUAGAGGGGUCCUUGAAAGAGAGCCGUAACACAGGUGCAGCAUGGCUGUCGUCAGCUGGUGUCGGGAGAUGGGGGGUUAAGUCCCGCAACGAGCGCCCCCCUUGUCAUUAGUUGCUACAUUCAGUUGGGCACUCUAAUGAGACUGCCGGUGACAAGCCGGAGGAAGGUGGGGAUGACGUCAAGUCCUCAUGGCCCUUAUAGGUGGGGCUACACACGUCAUACAAUGGUUGGUACAAAGGGUUGCCAACCCGCGAGGGGGAGCCAAUCCCAUAAAGCCAGUCGUAGUCCGGAUCGCAGUCUGCAACUCGACUACGUGAAGUCGGAAUCGCUUGUAA
rnacentral:rRNA from 1 species